AGAGUUUGAUCCUGGCUCAAGAUUGAUCGCUGGCGGCGUGCUUAACACAUGCAAGUCGAACGGAAAUGUCACGCUGAUGCGAUUUCGGUCAAAUCUUGUGGCAUUUUAGUGGCGGACGGGUGAGUAACGCGUGGGUAACCUGCCUCACACUGGGGGAUAACACUUAGAAAUAGGUGCUAAUACCGCAUAAGCGCACGGUCUCGCAUGGGAUUGUGUGAAAAACUCCGGUGGUGUGAGAUGGACCCGCGUCUGAUUAGCUAGUUGGCGGGGUAACGGCCCACCAAGGCGACGAUCAGUAGCCGGCCUGAGAGGGUGGACGGCCACAUUGGGACUGAGACACGGCCCAAACUCCUACGGGAGGCAGCAGUGGGGGAUAUUGGACAAUGGGGGGAACCCUGAUCCAGCGACGCCGCGUGAGUGAAGAAGUAUUUCGGUAUGUAAAGCUCUGUCAGCAGGGAAGAAAGUAUGACGGUACCUGACCAAGAAGCCCCGGCUAACUACGUGCCAGCAGCCGCGGUAAUACGUAGGGGGCAAGCGUUAUCCGGAAUUACUGGGUGUAAAGGGAGCGUAGACGGUUAAGUAAGUCUGGAGUGAAAGGCUGGGGCCCAACCCCGGGACUGCUCUGGAAACUAUUUAACUUGAGUGCAGGAGAGGUAAGCGGAAUUCCUAGUGUAGCGGUGAAAUGCGUAGAUAUUAGGAGGAACACCAGUGGCGAAGGCGGCUUACUGGACUGUAACUGACGUUGAGGCUCGAAAGCGUGGGGAGCAAACAGGAUUAGAUACCCUGGUAGUCCACGCCGUAAACGAUGAUUACUAGGUGUCGGUGGGUAUGGACCCAUCGGUGCCGCAGCAAACGCAGUAAGUAAUCCACCUGGGGAGUACGUUCGCAAGAAUGAAACUCAAAGGAAUUGACGGGGACCCGCACAAGUGGUGGAGCAUGUGGUUUAAUCCGAAGCAACGCGAAGAACCUUACCAAGUCUUGACAUCUGGAUGACGAGGACUUAACCGUCCUUUCUCUUCGGAGCAUCCAAGACAGGUGGUGCAUGGUUGUCGUCAGCUCGUGUCGUGAGAUGUUGGGUUAAGUCCCGCAACGAGCGCAACCCUUAUCUUAGUAGCCAGCGAGUAGAGUCGGGCACUCUAGAGAGACUGCCGGGGAUAACCCGGAGGAAGGUGGGGAUGACGUCAAAUCAUCAUGCCCCUUAUGAUUUGGGCUACACACGUGCUACAAUGGCGUAAACAGAGGGAAGCGAGCCCGCGAGGGGGAGCAAAUCCCAAAAAUAACGUCCCAGUUCGGAUUGUAGUCUGCAACCCGACUACAUGAAGCUGGAAUCGCUAGUAAUCGCGGAUCAGAAUGCCGCGGUGAAUACGUUCCCGGGUCUUGUACACACCGCCCGUCACACCAUGGGAGUCGGAAAUGCCCGAAGUCUGUGACCCAACCUAAGGGAGGGAGCAGCCGAAGGCAGGUCGGAUGACUGGGGUGAAG
rnacentral:rRNA from 1 species